rnacentral:tRNA from 1 species
GCUGCUGAAGCUCAAUCGGUAGAGCACGCCCUUGGUACGGGCGAGGCAGCGGGUUCGACUCCCGCCAGCAGCU